UGAUGACGUGCAAGGGUUUUAGUUUUAGAUUAAGUAUAGGUACAUUUUCAUCAUUAGUCGGCUUCUGUAUGACCUAAUGGAAAAGCCCCUUCUGUAUAACAUACUUUAUAAUACCAGGAAGGAAUAUACCACAUAAUACAAAACGGAAUCAAAAAGGUCAAAGAUAUCAAAGACCGCUCGCAAAACGACUGGAGACUAUUGUUUGGCCUUUUGAGAUGCAGCAGAAGGACUGCAAUAAAACAUCUCCAAUUACUUCAAGGGAGGAAUGUUCCUGCCAGACGAUAUAUUGAUGUGUGGUUCGAAUAGAUUGGAGCACCUUCGCAGUUUGAUUCAGAAGCGAUCAUUUUUGCAGUCUACAAUUGUGUUUGGAAAAUGGCGGUGUAUCAAAGUGCUUUAAAACAUUUGCUGUUAAUUCAGUUUAGGUUUUUCGUUGCUUUUUUCCUAAAUGUUAUAAAAUUGAAAAUUUUCAGUGAUUUUAACAAAGAAAAGUGUUUGUUUGCAGAUACCAAGUAUUUAUUAUACAAGAAUUGAAUGUAUUCUGUGGUGUUUCGGUACCAAUAAAGAAGGCUCAAUUUAA